rnacentral:rRNA from 1 species
AUUGAACGCUGGCGGCAGGCCUAACACAUGCAAGUCGAACGAGUGGCGGACGGGUGAGUAAUGUAUGGGAACCUGCCCGAUGGAGGGGGAUAACUACGGGAAACUGUAGCUAAUCCCGCGUACCAUCGGAGGGGCCCAGGUGUGCUUAGGUAGUUGGUGGGGUAAAGGCUCACCAAGGCGACGAUACCUAGCUGUCCUGAGAGGAUGACCGGCCACACUGGGACUGAGACACGGCCCAGCCCCCUACGGGAGGCAGCAGUGGGGAAUAUUCCGCAAUGGGCGCAACCCUGACGCAGCCAUGCCGCGUGAAUGAAGAAGGCCUUCGGGUUGUAAAGUUCUUUCGGUAGCGAGGCGUUAACUACAGAAGAAGCACCGGCUAACUCCGUGCCAGCAGCCGCGGUAAUUC